UUCGGAUGGAAGUGGAAUUGACUGAGUGGCGGACGGGUGAGUAACGCGUGGGUAACCUGCCUUGUACUGGGGGACAACAGUUAGAAAUGACUGCUAAUACCGCAUAAGCGCACAGUAUCGCAUGAUACAGUGUGAAAAACUCCGGUGGUACAAGAUGGACCCGUGUCUGAUUAGCUAGUUGGUAAGGUAACGGCUUACCAAGGCGACGAUCAGUAGCCGACCUGAGAGGGUGACCGGCCACAUUGGGACUGAGACACGGCCCAAACUCCUACGGGAGGCAGCAGUGGGGAAUAUUGCACAAUGGGCGAAAGCCUGAUGCAGCGACGCCGCGUGAGUGAAGAAGUAUUUCGGUAUGUAAAGCUCUAUCAGCAGGGAAGAAAAUGACGGUACCUGACUAAGAAGCCCCGGCUAACUACGUGCCAGCAGCCGCGGUAAUACGUAGGGGGCAAGCGUUAUCCGGAUUUACUGGGUGUAAAGGGAGCGUAGACGGUAAAGCAAGUCUGAAGUGAAAGCCCGCGGCUCAACUGCGGGACUGCUUUGGAAACUGUUUAACUGGAGUGUCGGAGAGGUAAGUGGAAUUCCUAGUGUAGCGGUGAAAUGCGUAGAUAUUAGGAGGAACACCAGUGGCGAAG
rnacentral:rRNA from 1 species